rnacentral:lncRNA from 1 species
UAAAGUAUUGAUAACCCCGUAAAUAAAUGUGUUUUUAAUACUCCAUGUGAGUUUUAUAACGACGCUAAUGACCCAGACUGCCUGUAACAACAUUCUUCAGGCGUUGGAAUUGUUAUGACAUUUGUCACCCCAGGCCUGCCGGCCUAGCUGUAGCUAACAGCUUAGGUGUGGGAUUGUCAAACCGUAUAGAUCUAUACACAAGUAUCACGCUCUCCCUCCAAGAGAUUAUGGUUUAUAAUACAGGACUUGAAAUGCAUACUCGAAAGUACGUGAAGCUGAAAUGUCUCACAAUUCUUAGUAUUAAAUAGAUUUACAUAUGAAAGUCCACUUUGUUUUUGUAUAUGAAAGUAUUUCCUUGAUAUAGUACUUGUAGCAUGUAAAAUUUCAUGAAUGUCGAGUAUACUUAUCUUAGUAAUCGUAUCUCUUGUAAUUGUAUCUCUUGAAAUUGUAUGUCUUGUAAUUGUAUGUAAUUGUAUCUCUUCAUAUAAUAUGUAAUGUAUUAGUAUAGACUCAUGAAUAAACUGACUCUUGUGUGAUUCCUUGUACUUGGAAUGGUAAGUAGUAUAUCCUAACUAUACCUAUUAUAGUUACUAGUAUUGUGCGUGUAUAACCGAAGUAUCCCUUUUNAGGGAGUUAGAGCAUAGAUUUAUAUAAUAAAACCUAUUAGAAGAUUUCAGUUUGUUAGAUGAAGAAUAGUUUUAAUAACUACUCAUUCAUCAAUCAGAAGUACUAUAAUAAUUGUAUAUCCGAUGAGUUUUAUAACCAUACUAAACAUAAUAUGUCUGUAGCGACGUUCUUCAGGCGUCGUAGCGUUAUGACAAACUGUCACCCCAAAGGACGGACUCUAGCUAACAGUCAGGGCGCGGGAUCAUGACUUCCCGUAUAGAUCUAUACACAUUUGACACGUUCUCCGAACGGGAGACUCUGGUUAUAGACAGGACUUGAAGCGGUACCUUUUAGCAAAAAGGUAUUAUUUGAAGAUGUAUACGUCUCACGGAUUCUCAACUAAGUCUGUAUUAAAGUAGUAGUUUCGUAUGCAAAGUUUAUCCUUUUUCACAAUGUUCGACAAUGCAUAAAUCAUAAGUUUUUAAAAUGUAUUAAAACGGUUUAGCAACGAAGGAUGCUUUGGAAUUGCUAAAUACUUUGUAUAAAUCUAGUGCAUGCAAAAUGUGACAAGAGUUUUCACAUAGUAGUAGUGAAUCACAAGUGAUUCAUUCGAUAAAAACGAGUACAGUGAAACUUUAUGAAAUACACGAUAAUAACCGUAUCUUUACUUGUAUUCCCCCCCUUAAAAGAGUAUAAAAAGAAUUGAUAACAUAUUUGAAAAUGUAGUUUAUAGGGGUAUGAACUCACCGAAGAAAACGCCUGAUUUGAAGAAAACGAGCUUUUUCUCGGGUGGCGCCUCGACCGAAAAGUGACGAGAUUCUCGGGAAUCUCGGGGCUUCGGACCUUCUUCGGGGCUUAGAUAUGAAACUGGGAAGUCGGGAUGUCGUCGGCACGGAAAACAAGAUGAAAAAGUGAGAGAAAUGAAGAAUUUUAGCAAAGGCAGCCGGCACUCUCGCAAUCUAUUUAUAGGAGCUGGAGGUCCUCGGUACGCUGGGCGUACUUCGGACUUACGCGGGGCGUACCUCGUACGUUGGGCGUACUCCGAGGGUAUGUUGGGCGUUCGCUUGCAUCACUGCUGACCGCAUCCUCGGACGAAGUGUCUGGUCGACGUGGACGAUCCGGAGCCUAGUGUCCGAGUACGUUGGGCGUAAAUCGUUUCGGUGUAUGUGCCACGAACUUGUAAAAUCCGUAACUUUCGCACACGGUCUCCGUUUUUGACGUUCUUUAUAUCCAUGCGAAGGUGAGAAAAUACUCUAAAACUUUCAUUUAGACUCCGUCGGCUAAUUUUGAAUUUAUUUUUAAUUAUAUUUUAAUUAAUAGGCCGGGACACGAUAACUUCGUUAAAAAUCCAUAACUCCUUCAUCUUGUGUCCAUUUUCGUCAGACUUUUUACUGUUAAACUCCUAUUGUCGGGGUCUUCAACUUUCGUUUAGGUUGUGUCGGCUAAGAAUUGCUCGAUCUUUAUUUCGAGUUUUUUAGCUGUCUAUCGCUGUUACGAAACUUAGAAAAUUUGUAACUUCUUCAUACGAAGUCCGUUUUGGGCGUUCUUUUUAUGCAUGAUCACGGUUUAACGUAAUCUACGACUUUCUUUUAGAUACCUAAGGCUAAAAACUAUUGUAUUGAAACUUUGUGUUUUUCGCUUAAGCGGUGUUGUCGGGUUUCGUCACGAAUCUUAGAUUGGUCAUAACUGCUUCGUUGUAACUCGCAUUUUUGUGUUCUUUAUAUGUACGAGAACCUUGAUACAAUUCCUACUACUUUAUUUAACCCAAAUAAUAUUUUUAGGAAAGUUAUAUUUUGGCCUAAAUUUGACUGGUGCUAUAUUAUAUUGUCUCAAAAUGUUGGGUUGUCACAUCAUCCCCCUGUUAGAGGGAAUUUCGUCCCGAAAUUCGAGUUUAAGCAGUAUUAAUAAUCAUGCUACGGACAGAAGUUUUAUUUGCUACUCGUUUUUUUAAGUAAACAUUCGUCUUCACCUGGCAUUCCAGCGAACCUUUCACUAUCGGGAUAUGACUUUGCUUCUUUCGUUUGACCUCCCUGGUAUGAUAUCUUUCCCUUGCCGAAUGUGUGUUGAGUGUUUCUGUGGUCUGUGAGAGUAUUACACCUUGUACCCUACAAGUAGUGUCUCCAAAUCUUUUGAGCAAUUACCGCUGCUCUUGACUCAAGAUCGUGUGUUGAAUAGUCAACCUCCUGUGUCUUAACCUGUCUUGAGGUAUAGGUAGUGACCUUUCCUCUUGCAUAAGAACACAACCAAGCCCUUGGUUGGAUGCAUCACAUUACACCAUGAAAUAUUCUAUCCCUUUUGGGAGGGAUAAUAUUGGUGCGAUGCAUUAGGCUUACUUUAGCGUUUGGAACGCUCUUUCUUGUUUACAGACAAGUCCGUGCUCCUCCAAGUGAGAGACUUGGCCUAAAGAAUCCCCUUUUUAGGAGUUUGUUAAGAUCGCUAGGAAGUUCUUGCAUCUCGGUUAGAGCUAGACAAUAAGGUGAUCUGGAUACUGGGGUAGCCCCUGGCACUAAGUCGAUUCUGAAUUCGACUUGACGCUGUGGUGGUAGUCUUGGUAGUCCUUCUAGAUAGGUGUCGGCAAAGCCGCGUACUUCUUAGAUGUUCUGAAUGUCCUUCACUUCUUGGCAUGUCUCGGCGAUGUGUGCAAGGAAUGCAUGAUAUUCCUUUCGUAAGCAUUUCUGAGCUUGCAUACACGAAAUGAUGAGAGGGUUCGUACUUGUUUCGUCACUGUAAAUAACUAAAGCCUCGUUGUUUUGGGAGGUUAGGACGUCCUGCUUAAUCAAAGCACCUGAUGUCGGCUCGAUGUAGACUUAACCAACUUCUACUAAUUAUGAUGUCAAAACCUUGGGGUGGAUUAGCUGUCGUGAAGAUCUAAAAGGUAGUAUGACUACUCAUCAAUUAGGGAAAAGGAUAGGUAUGUCUAAGUUUAUUCUCACGGAAGCACGAUCAUUCACAGCCUUGGGUGGUCUCCGUCCUGAAGUUCAUAGUAGAACUCAUACCUGGAUCAUCUAUCACAGUCUCGGGUAUACGAUUCGUAUAUAAUUAAGGUUGAGAAGGUAGUCGAAUAAAUGUUUCUUCUUUAAGCUCACAUCCCAUCGAGGAAAAAGAAGUUAAAGUGGAAUUUGUCGAUUCCAAACCUGUAGAACCUUGAUUAUAUAUCACCCCUAUGUAUACAUUCAUCAGCGAUAGAUCAACCGUAUGGACCUUUGGAUUUGAACUUGAUGUACUGUACAAGUGGUACUUCGGGGAUUUCUUUGGAAAGGAGAAGAAACAUGAGGUACUCUAUGCAUAAGUACUUAGGUGUUCUAGAAUGACGGCUUCGCUAGAAAGAAGUUUUUCGGAGGAGGAAAAGUACGCACGAAGCUGGUAUUGCGAGGAUUGAAUUGAGUCAAGUUGUAUGAUGAUAUCGGACUUACUUGGAAAUAAGGUAUUAGAUUUGAUCAUAAGGGUGUUACAGAUAAAACACAACAGUGCAACUUUUAACAGAGUUACAGUACUUUGGUUUUACUAUAAGACUAUUGUUGCGAACAAGGUAUACUACAAAAGGCAAGUAUACGCAGUACGAGGGUCCCUUUACAGACAAGAUCUCGCAAAAGAUAAGACUCUAGUUGCACUAGUUUUAAACAGUUUAUAAGUCUGUUACAACGAAACGUCUUAAUUACAUUCACGUGGGUCCGAAAUAGUCUCUCCUGCGGCAGUGAUCCUUAGUAUUCUACCGUCUGCGCCGGAGUUCUUUGUUAUAGGACAAUCCUUCUUGACGUGACCUAUCUCACCGCAUUGGUGGCAUGAUUAGCUAGUACUAGCAUUGGUGGUGGGAGUGAGGUGUUUAGUCAGAGUUACGUGCACACGGGUGCCUUCCUCAUUACUCCACCUUGAAAAUUUCCUCUUAAAGAGUCCAGCUUUAUCAGUACUUUUGUGUGUUGGUUUGGUCCCGAUGUCAGGGACUGGAGGAAUGGGUCGUGCUGGUGCUGAAGGUACAGGAGUUGCCACUUGCUGUUGUUGCAUGGCAAGUCUUUGGAAUCGCUUUCGCUCACUUCUGGCUUGGCGAUAUCGUCUCCUCUUUUCGGUCUUACGACUUCGCAAGUCUGUGAUUGUUGUCAUUUGUUGAUUUCCCGGAUUGGUACUACAAUCGGAACUCUUGACUCCUUUUUCAGUCUUGUUUGUGUUGCCGGAGUUGAUGUGUGUAAGGAAAGUUAUCACAGCAGCUGCUACUGCAGCUUGUAACAUAGUGGCGUCGAUAUGGAGGAUAGGGGUUUCGUUGCUCGAUGGGUUAUUGCUGGAUGACAACAUGAUUCUGUAACACAAAGGAAAAAGGGGUUCGUGAUCUAAUACGGUUGAACCUAUAUCAUUUUGAUUCUGGCUAAGAUAUGAGUUAUUAUACAUGAAAACUUAGCUUAUACACGUUAUGAUAUAAUCAAGAAUGGGCGGAUAAUAAAAUGUGUGAUUCUACUCUAGUCCCACAUCCCAACGAGGAAAAGGAACUAAAUCAGAAAUCUCACAUUCUAUUGUCUACCAGGUCUUCGUCAUAUAUAACUCGGGAAUGUAUAAGCGAGGAAGGUCAUAAUAAUAAUCUUCUUACGAAUCUUAUUUGAUGAACUAGAAUGUCUAGUAAAGGCUACCAUCGACCCUAGAUGUACUUCGAUCGUUUAAUUGAAGAGUAAGAGCAUGUUCUCGAAGGUUUGACCUAUAUCCCUAUGAUGCAGUCCAAGUAUGGAAUAAAAGUAUGUUCACGAAGGUCCGACCUACAUCCCUAUGAUGCAGUCCUUAGUACGGAGUAGAAGUAAGUUCGUAGAUUAGUCUCAAGACGUUUGUCGUUCAAGCCGAGGUAUCGUUGGUUGGUGAAUAACAUGAUCCUAUCACUAAAAGAGAUUUGGAAAUGUCUCCGGAGUUAAAUUACUAUAGUCCAAUGACUUGACUAAAGCAUGUUUCAGAUAGACUCCAACGAAGGUAUGAUGACGGUUUUUGAACAAAGAGCGACACGGAAGUUAGGCGACUGUCAAUAUCAUCGAUGUCUAAAAUGUAAUAAGUUUAGGAAAAUCUUAUUUUGAAGAAAGUCUUACAUCAUAUCCGGGGUAGAAAGGUUUUGGCCAUAUAAAGGCCUAACUAAUCAGUACUUACAGUACAAGAUAGUUACACAGAAAAAUGCUACAUAGGACAUACACAGGAACAACGAUUCCUUUAAACAACGAAGGGAAAUAAAGCCUUUCUUACUGGCGGCGGUCAUCCUUCUGGUGAACUCUCAGUUCAGCCAAUUGACGUUCCAUUAUCAAGAAGGUGUCUUUCGUACACUCUCUGGCGUACUCGUAUCUCUAUGACUUCAGCUCGUGUUUUAGCUAAUGCUUGCGGCAGGGUCUCAUGGUUUCUCUCAGAUCUCUCCCGAGUGUUUUCAAGAUGACUGGUGUAGAUGGUGUGCAUUCUUGUAUUGGCAUUUAACCUCUUCGGUAUAAUGGAGAGUCGUCCUGCCCUGAAUUUCGUUUCGAGUAACUCUAUAGAUCAGGAUUGGUAAAACUUUGCCUGUUGAGCUCCCCUUAAGUUGUAGCAGUUUCCGUCUCCUUUCAAUGGCAUAGGUUGAUUUUUCUCUUCGCUCAUGUUUUCAGGCAUUCUACCCAAGGAAGCGUCGAGCCAUGAAGAGCUGGACGAGGGUUAGGGUUUGAAUUAGGAGCUACUGGGGGUGGGUUAUCAUCCUUGAGUUCAGAGUUAUCAUCACCCGAAAGAUCUUUAGCAUGGUGAUUAUUCGAAAGGGAUUGGAUGAUCAUUCUCUGGUUCUUCUCUGAACCAUCCAGCUUUGCCUUUGUUCGGAAAAAUACGGGUCUUCGUGGGAUGGGGUCCAGCUAUGUUAUCUAUGCGGUAAUUGGGGUAUAAGAAUUUAACACAUAAGUUGUUUAUAGUAAUACACAAAAUACUCUUAUAGUAUUUUAGGUUUAUGUUCUAUUGUUCUAAUUGUGGUAUUGUGGGUAAGUUUUUAGACUUGUUGCAACUCACAACCACACUUAGGCACAUGCUAGUCAACCCUCGGAUAAUAUAGUUGAUCAGGCUAUAUCAUCCCAUUUUUGACUAUAUGUCUCUAAGUCUACUUCUGCUGCCCAACAAUUGCAAUACUUUUGUUCUGUCUUAGUGACACUGAUUUUAGUAUGAAUGCAGGCACGUAUACUUACUUAAAUAUUUUAUUAUUUAANCUUCAAAUAGGGGACCCUAACUACAAACCCACAACCAAACAAGGAACAGGGAGUAAAGCAAAGGUCACGGACUCUAAGUCUAUGACAUCCUAAAUACACAUAACAUUAUCGUAUCCACCUAGCAACUAUUAACUCACCAAUAAGGACCUUUUUAGUCCUCAGACAAGUAAUUAUAGUACCACUAAAUACUCCUAUAGUGUGACACCCCAAAACCUAGAACUGCGGAAACGCUCUGGGGCGGAGGACGUCAUGUAAUGUAUCAGAACAACGCAACGUAGUAAACAAGAAACAACAUCAUCCAUUUCAUUAAUAGUAUAAUUUUAAUUACAUUUGAGUUCUUUCAUAGUAUAAUUCUACAAAAUGAAUAAUCAAAAUAAAAGACGAGUCUUGACCACUCCAUCUUCAUAGAGCCUGGUAAUCGUACCUGUCUAUCUGUGUCCUGGGAAUACAAGUUAUUUUGAAAGAGAGUAUCAGCAAUAAUGCUGAUGAAUUCAUAAGUAUUUAUGUGAUUUUGAUUUGUAAAACUGUAAAGGAAGACCUGCAAUGUUUGUAGGAAAGUUUGUACCAAUGAACAUGUUUGUAAGUAUUUGUAAACGUUUGAAAACUCUAGAAAAUCCCAUAUUUUAUACUAGUAUAAAAAGUAGCCUUCUACCAAGACCCAACCGUUUUGAAUGUUUGCUUUUAGAAAUCCAAUAUUUACCCAUAAGAGUGUGAUAGUUUCAAAAGUCCCAAAAAUGAACUACCAUGGUGAUUUUUAUGUCUAAAUUAGUAGAUUUGUGUACGUAUAUAAUCGCUAAAGUAUUGAUAACCCCGUAAAUAAAUGUCUUUUUAAUAAUCCAUGUGAGUUUUAUAACGACGCUAAUGACCCAGACUGCAUGUAACAACAUUCUUCAGGCGUUGGAAUUGUUAUGACAUUUGUCACCCCAGGCCUGCCGGCCUAGCUGUAGCUAACAGCUUAGGUGUGGGAUUGUCAAUCCGUAAUAGAUUUAUACACAAGUAUCACGCUCCCCCUACAAGGGAUUAUGGUAUAUAAUACAGGACUUAAUAAUGCAUACUCGAACGUACGNAUGUCUCACAAUUCUUAGUAUUAAAUAGAUUUACAUAUGAAAGUCCACUUUGUUUUUGUAUAUGAAAGUAUUUCCUUGAUAUAGUACUUGUAGUAUGUAAAAUUUCAUGAAUGUCGAGUAUACUUAUCUUAGUAAUCGUAUCUCUUGUAAUUGUAUCUCUUGAAAUUGUAUGCCUUGUAAUUGUAUGUAAUUGUAUCUCUUCAUAUAAUAUGUAAUGUAUUAAUAUAGACUCAUGAAUAAACUGACUCUUGUGAGAUUCCUUGUACUUGGAAUGGUAAGUAGUAUCUCCUAACUACACCUAUUAUAGUUACUAGUAUUGUGCGUGUAUAACCGAAGUAUCCCUUUGCUACCCAAAGGUACUGAAUCAAUUAAUGAAAACUUUUAUGCCUAUAUAUGUAUACAUGAUAUAUAUAUAUAUAUAU